ACGGAUGAGAAGCUUGCUUCUCUGAUGUUAGCGGCGGACGGGUGAGUAACACGUGGAUAACCUACCUAUAAGACUGGGAUAACUUCGGGAAACCGGAGCUAAUACCGGAUAAUAUUUUGAACCGCAUGGUUCAAAAGUGAAAGACGGUCUUGCUGUCACUUAUAGAUGGAUCCGCGCUGCAUUAGCUAGUUGGUAAGGUAACGGCUUACCAAGGCAACGAUGCAUAGCCGACCUGAGAGGGUGAUCGGCCACACUGGAACUGAGACACGGUCCAGACUCCUACGGGAGGCAGCAGUAGGGAAUCUUCCGCAAUGGGCGAAAGCCUGACGGAGCAACGCCGCGUGAGUGAUGAAGGUCUUCGGAUCGUAAAACUCUGUUAUUAGGGAAGAACAUAUGUGUAAGUAACUGUGCACAUCUUGACGGUACCUAAUCAGAAAGCCACGGCUAACUACGUGCCAGCAGCCGCGGUAAUACGUAGGUGGCAAGCGUUAUCCGGAAUUAUUGGGCGUAAAGCGCGCGUAGGCGGUUUUUUAAGUCUGAUGUGAAAGCCCACGGCUCAACCGUGGAGGGUCAUUGGAAACUGGAAAACUUGAGUGCAGAAGAGGAAAGUGGAAUUCCAUGUGUAGCGGUGAAAUGCGCAGAGAUAUGGAGGAACACC
rnacentral:rRNA from 1 species